rnacentral:rRNA from 1 species
CUACGGGGCGCUCCAGUGGGGAAUAUUGGGCAAUGGGCGCAAGCCUGACCCAGCAACGCCGCGUGAGGGAAGAAGGUUUUCGGAUUGUAAACCUCUGUCCUUGGGGACGAAGAAGUGACGGUACCCAAGGAGGAAGCUCCGGCUAACUACGUGCCAGCAGCCGCGGUAAUACGUAGGGAGCAAGCGUUGUCCGGAAUUACUGGGCGUAAAGGGUGCGUAGGCGGCAUAUUAAGUCAGGUGUGAAAUACUCGGGCUCAACCCGGGGGCUGCAUUUGAAACUGAUAUGCUUGAGUGUGAGAGAGGAAAGUGGAAUUCCUAGUGUAGCGGUGGAAUGCGUAGAUAUUAGGAGGAACACCAGUGGCGAAGGCGACUUUCUGGCUCAUAACUGACGCUGAGGCACGAAAGCGUCGGGAGCAAACAGGAUUAGAUACCCUCGUAGUC